rnacentral:rRNA from 1 species
GAUGAACGCUGGCGGCGUGCCUAAUACAUGCAAGUCGAGCGAACAGACGAGGAGCUUGCUCCUCUGACGUUAGCGGCGGACGGGUGAGUAACACGUGGAUAACCUACCUAUAAGACUGGGAUAACUUCGGGAAACCGGAGCUAAUACCGGAUAAUAUAUUGAACCGCAUGGUUCAAUAGUGAAAGACGGUUUUGCUGUCACUUAUAGAUGGAUCCGCGCCGCAUUAGCUAGUUGGUAAGGUAACGGCUUACCAAGGCAACGAUGCGUAGCCGACCUGAGAGGGUGAUCGGCCACACUGGAACUGAGACACGGUCCAGACUCCUAUGGGAGGCAGCAGUAGGGAAUCUUCCGCAAUGGGCGAAAGCCUGACGGAGCAACGCCGCGUGAGUGAUGAAGGUCUUCGGAUCGUAAAACUCUGUUAUUAGGGAAGAACAAAUGUGUAAGUAACUAUGCACGUCUUGACGCUACCUAAUCAGAAAGCCACGGCUAACUACGUG